rnacentral:rRNA from 1 species
AACGAACGCUGGCGGCAUGCCUAACACAUGCAAGUCGAACGAGACCUUCGGGUCUAGUGGCGCACGGGUGCGUAACGCGUGGGAACCUGCCCUUAGGUUCGGAAUAACUCCCCGAAAGGGGUGCUAAUACCGGAUAAUGUCUUCGGACCAAAGAUUUAUCGCCUUUGGAUGGGCCCGCGUUGGAUUAGCUAGUUGGUAGGGUAAGAGCCUACCAAGGCGACGAUCCAUAGCUGGUCUGAGAGGAUGAUCAGCCACACUGGGACUGAGACACGGCCCAGAAUCCUACGGGAGGCAGCAGUGGGGAAUAUUGGAAAAUGGGCGAAAGCCUGAUCCAGCAAUGCCGGGUGAGUGAUGAAGGCCUUAGGGUUGUAAAGCGCUUUUACCCGGGAUGAUAAUGACAGUACCGGGAGAAUAAGCUCCGGCUAACUCCGUG